UUGAGAGGUGCCUGGAGACCAAAUCCCUCUGUUGAUCUGCACAGCAGUAGUGCAAGCUUGCCCAGGCUGCUCCACCAAUGUGCUUCAACACUGACCAUCUCAAGCAGGAAGAAGGAAUUUCAGUUUCCUGGCCCAAUCUAUCCUCAGCCUCU
ensembl:misc_RNA